rnacentral:rRNA from 1 species
UACGAAGGGUGCUAGCGUUGUUCGGAAUGACUGGGCGUAAAGGGUGCGUAGGCGGCCGAAUGCGUCUGAUGUGAAAUCCCUGGGCUUAACCUAGGAACUGCAUUGGAUACGGUUUGGCUAGAGACCGAGAGAGGAAGAUGGAAUUGUGCGUGUAGAGGUGAAAUUCGUAGAUAUGCACAAGAACACCGGUGGCGAAGGCGAUCUUCUGGAGCGGUACUGACGCUAAGGCACGAAAGCGUGGGGAGCAAAC